AAAAGGGAUAGUACUUGUGGUUCAGACCCUUGAUCAAAUUUAAUGGCACCACACGUUCGCCAGUGUGAUACCCAUCGAGAACGGCCAUUUCCUCGGCCGUCAGCUCAAAAUCGAAGAUAUCGAAGUUUUCAGAAAUUCGAACCAAAUAUGUGUUUUAUAAAGCGACUUUGGAGAUCAGUUUAUGGUUUUUUUCGAGGACCUCGCGUUCGUUUCACACCGAACACUAUCAACAUUUCGGAGAGUCGCGAAAUGACAAAUCGAAACCACAUUCGAGGUUAUAUGUCUGAGCAACGUCGCAAGGCGCAGGAAAGAUACGAUAAUCUUUGAUAAGACGAUUUAAAAUAUAAGUUAUUAUUUUUUCAGAGGAUCAUAUCUAGCACAAAAUAUAUUUAUAUAUGACUUUUGGCAAGCACUUAAAAGUAAGGAUAGUACUGAUGAUUCUUGGCUUUUUCAAAUUUCCAAAUUCUCCGCCCUGUAUUGUAGAUCUUCAACUGAAGCAACUCCUCCGGCGUUAGGUGGAAAUCAAAUAUAUCCAGAUUCUCGACGAGAUGGGCUCGCUGGGCAGCUUUUGGAAUAGGUACCGUGCCAAUGUCGAUCUGUGGAGCAUUUGUAUUCUUUAGCCAAUAAAUAUCUUCAUCACUUUA